rnacentral:tRNA from 1 species
GAGAGUAUAGCUCAGUGGUAGAGUGCAUGAUUAUUAGCAUGCACAAGGUCCUGGGUUCAACCCCCAGUACCGCCG